ACUCCUACGGGAGGCAGCAGUGGGGAAUAUUGCACAAUGGGCGGAAGCCUGAUGCAGCGACGCCGCGUGAGGGAUGACGGCCUUCGGGUUGUAAACCUCUUUCAGCAGGGACGAAGCGAGAGUGACGGUACCUGCAGAAGAAGCGCCGGCCAACUACGUGCCAGCAGCCGCGGUAAGACGUAGGGCGCGAGCGUUGUCCGGAUUUAUUGGGCGUAAAGAGCUCGUAGGCGGCUUGUCGCGUCGACUGUGAAAACUCAGGGCUCAACCCUGAGCUUGCAGUCGAUACGGGCAGGCUCGAGUUCGGUAGGGGAGACUGGAAUUCCUGGUGUAGCGGUGAAAUGCGCAGAUAUCAGGAGGAACACCGGUGGCGAAGGCGGGUCUCUGGGCCGAUACUGACGCUGAGGAGCGAAAGCGUGGGGAGCGAACAGGAUUAGAUACCCUGGUAGUCCACGCUGUAAACGUUGGGCGCUAGGUGUGGGGGGCCUCUCCGGUUCUCUGUGCCGCAGCUAACGCAUUAAGCGCCCCGCCUGGGGAGUACGGCCGCAAGGCUAAAACUCAAAGGAAUUGACGGGNGCCCGCACAAGCGGCGGAGCAUGCGGAUUAAUUCGAUGCAACGCGAAGAACCUUACCUGGGUUUGACAUCGCCGGAAAUCUCGCAGAGAUGCGGGGUCCUUCGGGGCCGGUGACAGGUGGUGCAUGGCUGUCGUCAGCUCGUGUCGUGAGAUGUUGGGUUAAGUCCCGCAACGAGCGCAACCCUCGUUCGAUGUUGCCAGCGCGUUAUGGCGGGGACUCAUCGAAGACUGCCGGGGUCAACUCGGA
rnacentral:rRNA from 1 species